rnacentral:rRNA from 1 species
UGAGUAACGCGUAUCCAACCUGGCCCGUUAUAGGGGGAGUAGCCCGGCGAAAGUCGGAUUAAUGCCCUAUGUCUUCCUUUGCAGGCAUCCAAUGAGGAGAAAGAUUUAUCGCUGCGGGAUGGGGAUGCGUCUGAUUAGCUUGUCGGCGGGGUAACGGCCCACCGAGGCGACGAUCAGUAGGGGUUCUGAGAGGAAGGUCCCCCACACUGGUACUGAGACACGGACCAGACUCCUACGGGAGGCAGCAGUGAGGAAUAUUGGUCAAUGGGCGAGAGCCUGAACCAGCCAAGUAGCGUGCAGGAACCGACUGCCCUAUGGGUUGUAAACUGCUUUUAUGCGGGGAUAAACUUCAGCACGUGUGCUGUUUUGCAGGUACCGCAUGAAUAAGGACCGGCUAAUUCCGUGCCAGCCGCCGC